CCACCCUCCAAAUAAAGAGUGUAACAUUACAGCAGUCUGCUUGCCAGCCCACAGUGUCCUUCAACAGGCGGUGGCAUGGAGAUCAAAACGGGAAAUAUGAUCCACCGGCAAUGGGAACUGGAUCUCUUCCUCUCCAUCAGUGCCUUCUGCCAUCCUCCCAAGGUGUUGGGAGACAAACCUUGAGAGAAAUGGGAAUCGGUUACAUUCACAAUUCUGUGACUCCCAAGUGCUGUUGUCUUCCAAACAUAAGGCAGGUUCCUGAAGGACAAAAAAUAGAUGUGACCCCUUGCUGCCACUGCCUCACAGUAGCUGACUUAUGAGGCUCCAGAAUUGACUUUAUCAUUCACAGCUGUUGAGAAACAGCAUCAUGAAGAGGUGGAGCAAGCUGACAAAUGCACAUGGUAUUAUUUUACAAUCACAAGAUGACAUAGCAAUGUGUUUGAGCUGUUGGAAUGCUAUACUUAAUUUUACUGUAAUGUAAAAAGUGGCAUUUUAAUAAAGGGUGAAUUCAUA